UUGGAAUGAUUAAAAAAAAAAUGUACAAAGUCCUCGGCCACAUUGUAGAACUUUGGGGAUGCUCACUCUAACCGACUG